rnacentral:rRNA from 1 species
GACGAACGCUGGCGGCGUGCUUAACACAUGCAAGUCGAACGGAAAGGCCCUGCUUUUGUUGGGUGCUCGAGUGGCGAACGGGUGAGUAACACGUGAGUAACCUGCCCUUGACUUUGGGAUAACUUCAGGAAACUGGGGCUAAUACCGGAUAGGAGCUCCUGCUGCAUGGUGGGGGUUGGAAAGUGUCGGCGGUUGGGGAUGGACUCGCGGCUUAUCAGCUUGAUGGUGGGGUAGUGGCUUACCAAGGCUUUGACGGGUAGCCGGCCUGAGAGGGUGAACGGCCACAUUGGGACUGAGAUACGGCCCAGACUCCUACGGGAGGCAGCAGUGGGGAAUAUUGCACAAUGGGCGGAAGCCUGAUGCAGCAACGCCGCGUGCGGGAUGACGGCCUUCGGGUUGUAAACCGCUUUCGCCUGUGACGAAGCGUGAGUGACGGUAAUGGGUAAAGAAGCACCGGCUAACUACGUG